rnacentral:rRNA from 2 species
UUAAGCGACUAAGCGUACACGGUGGAUGCCCUGGCAGUCAGAGGCGAUGAAGGACGUGCUAAUCUGCGAUAAGCGUCGGUAAGGUGAUAUGAACCGUUAUAACCGGCGAUUUCCGAAUGGGGAAACCCAGUGUGAUUCGUCACACUAUCAUUAACUGAAUCCAUAGGUUAAUGAGGCGAACCGGGGGAACUGAAACAUCUAAGUACCCCGAGGAAAAGAAAUCAACCGAGAUUCCCCCAGUAGCGGCGAGCGAACGGGGAGGAGCCCAGAGCCUGAAUCAGUGUGUGUGUUAGUGGAAGCGUCUGGAAAGGCGCGCGAUACAGGGUGACAGCCCCGUACACAAAAAUGCACAUAUUGUGAGCUCGAUGAGUAGGGCGGGACACGUGGUAUCCUGUCUGAAUAUGGGGGGACCAUCCUCCAAGGCUAAAUACUCCUGACUGACCGAUAGUGAACCAGUACCGUGAGGGAAAGGCGAAAAGAACCCCGGCGAGGGGAGUGAAAAAGAACCUGAAACCGUGUACGUACAAGCAGUGGGAGCACGCUUAGGCGUGUGACUGCGUACCUUUUGUAUAAUGGGUCAGCGACUUAUAUUCUGUAGCAAGGUUAACCGAAUAGGGGAGCCGAAGGGAAACCGAGUCUUAACUGGGCGUUAAGUUGCAGGGUAUAGACCCGAAACCCGGUGAUCUAGCCAUGGGCAGGUUGAAGGUUGGGUAACACUAACUGGAGGACCGAACCGACUAAUGUUGAAAAAUUAGCGGAUGACUUGUGGCUGGGGGUGAAAGGCCAAUCAAACCGGGAGAUAGCUGGUUCUCCCCGAAAGCUAUUUAGGUAGCGCCUCGUGAAUUCAUCUCCGGGGGUAGAGCACUGUUUCGGCAAGGGGGUCAUCCCGACUUACCAACCCGAUGCAAACUGCGAAUACCGGAGAAUGUUAUCACGGGAGACACACGGCGGGUGCUAACGUCCGUCGUGAAGAGGGAAACAACCCAGACCGCCAGCUAAGGUCCCAAAGUCAUGGUUAAGUGGGAAACGAUGUGGGAAGGCCCAGACAGCCAGGAUGUUGGCUUAGAAGCAGCCAUCAUUUAAAGAAAGCGUAAUAGCUCACUGGUCGAGUCGGCCUGCGCGGAAGAUGUAACGGGGCUAAACCAUGCACCGAAGCUGCGGCAGCGACGCUUAUGCGUUGUUGGGUAGGGGAGCGUUCUGUAAGCCUGUGAAGGUGUGCUGUGAGGCAUGCUGGAGGUAUCAGAAGUGCGAAUGCUGACAUAAGUAACGAUAAAGCGGGUGAAAAGCCCGCUCGCCGGAAGACCAAGGGUUCCUGUCCAACGUUAAUCGGGGCAGGGUGAGUCGACCCCUAAGGCGAGGCCGAAAGGCGUAGUCGAUGGGAAACAGGUUAAUAUUCCUGUACUUGGUGUUACUGCGAAGGGGGGACGGAGAAGGCUAUGUUGGCCGGGCGACGGUUGUCCCGGUUUAAGCGUGUAGGCUGGUUUUCCAGGCAAAUCCGGAAAAUCAAGGCUGAGGCGUGAUGACGAGGCACUACGGUGCUGAAGCAACAAAUGCCCUGCUUCCAGGAAAAGCCUCUAAGCAUCAGGUAACAUCAAAUCGUACCCCAAACCGACACAGGUGGUCAGGUAGAGAAUACCAAGGCGCUUGAGAGAACUCGGGUGAAGGAACUAGGCAAAAUGGUGCCGUAACUUCGGGAGAAGGCACGCUGAUAUGUAGGUGAAGCGACUUGCUCGUGGAGCUGAAAUCAGUCGAAGAUACCAGCUGGCUGCAACUGUUUAUUAAAAACACAGCACUGUGCAAACACGAAAGUGGACGUAUACGGUGUGACGCCUGCCCGGUGCCGGAAGGUUAAUUGAUGGGGUCAGCGCAAGCGAAGCUCUUGAUCGAAGCCCCGGUAAACGGCGGCCGUAACUAUAACGGUCCUAAGGUAGCGAAAUUCCUUGUCGGGUAAGUUCCGACCUGCACGAAUGGCGUAAUGAUGGCCAGGCUGUCUCCACCCGAGACUCAGUGAAAUUGAACUCGCUGUGAAGAUGCAGUGUACCCGCGGCAAGACGGAAAGACCCCGUGAACCUUUACUAUAGCUUGACACUGAACAUUGAGCCUUGAUGUGUAGGAUAGGUGGGAGGCUUAGAAGUGUGGACGCCAGUCUGCAUGGAGCCGACCUUGAAAUACCACCCUUUAAUGUUUGAUGUUCUAACGUUGACCCGUAAUCCGGGUUGCGGACAGUGUCUGGUGGGUAGUUUGACUGGGGCGGUCUCCUCCUAAAGAGUAACGGAGGAGCACGAAGGUUGGCUAAUCCUGGUCGGACAUCAGGAGGUUAGUGCAAUGGCAUAAGCCAGCUUGACUGCGAGCGUGACGGCGCGAGCAGGUGCGAAAGCAGGUCAUAGUGAUCCGGUGGUUCUGAAUGGAAGGGCCAUCGCUCAACGGAUAAAAGGUACUCCGGGGAUAACAGGCUGAUACCGCCCAAGAGUUCAUAUCGACGGCGGUGUUUGGCACCUCGAUGUCGGCUCAUCACAUCCUGGGGCUGAAGUAGGUCCCAAGGGUAUGGCUGUUCGCCAUUUAAAGUGGUACGCGAGCUGGGUUUAGAACGUCGUGAGACAGUUCGGUCCCUAUCUGCCGUGGGCGCUGGAGAACUGAGGGGGGCUGCUCCUAGUACGAGAGGACCGGAGUGGACGCAUCACUGGUGUUCGGGUUGUCAUGCCAAUGGCACUGCCCGGUAGCUAAAUGCGGAAGAGAUAAGUGCUGAAAGCAUCUAAGCACGAAACUUGCCCCGAGAUGAGUUCUCCCUGACCCUUUAAGGGUCCUGAAGGAACGUUGAAGACGACGACGUUGAUAGGCCGGGUGUGUAAGCGCAGCGAUGCGUUGAGCUAACCGGUACUAAUGAACCGUGAGGCUUAACCUU